CGUGCACGCACACACACACACACUCGGCGCCGUGAUUCGGCCACAGCAGCACUGUGUACUCCACAGCCACGGGCGCGCGCCUACGUAGCAUAAGCGGGGCGGGCUGACGGUGGAAUGUCGGGAACGCGCAUUAUUUUCCUCGAGAGGUUUAUACAUAUAGCAUACAUGGCAAGUACCAACCAGUGAGGGUGAAAACUAUCACAUGCUUCCUCUGAGACACGGAAGACAGCCUAAUGCCCCAUAUGCAACGUUUAAAAGCAGCAUAACACACUUGGAGGAAAGUGCUAACUGCCCCUUCUGCUUCCAUGAGCUCACAGAUGCUAUUGCCGAGGCUAGUGCCACUGUGAUUGAUAUGAGAGUGUGGGAAUGCUAUUUUAAGUCUAAUUUAAAAGUAGGACACAAUUGUACAAACAUCAAGUACCGACUGCCGAAAUAUCAACUGCAGAUUAUGUGUGAUAGCCAUGUAAUUGUAAUUAUAUUUCUUGAAAUUAGUUCUAUGCUUUAUUGUUUGGUUAAGACUUUGCUGGUUUAUCUGUUUAAUAUCUGCUUUAAACUGCUGGUAUUUUAGCAUCCCUGUAUCCUACAUCUAAUAAUGCCGUAAACUGUUCUGUUUCUUCUUA